CCAAUAACCAGCUGUACAGUGAGUCAGAACUCUGGGCCUCAUCUGUGAAAAGCUGUAAAAUGUCUUCUCACUCUAUUAAAAGGGUGCAGUCUUAUCCUAGAGAUGAUGGCGGUAAACCUGAUGAUGAGAUGAAACCUGGUGAUGAGAUGAUGAGAGAAACCUGAAUCUGAUAACUUUAUGGAGAUACUGAACCAACUCUAACUUCAGAUUUCUUUUACAUAAAAAGAAAUCAACUCUGCACUCUUCUCCAUCCUGCUCUGUACCUGGGAGGCUGAUGUCCGUGGACUGCAUCAGUGGGCUCUCAGGUCCUCUGAUUUUUAACUGGUUUCAGCCAAAGUGAGGCACGGGCAGGAGAUUCAGGCAUCCCUGUGAUGUUCACAGACUUCCUCCAGGGCUCCUGAGUAAGGAGACCUGGGACCACUGUGACAGUUUGAAAAACACGGAGACCUUUGAAAGCCCUGGUGAAGGGGACCAAGUGCAUUCCUGGUAGCAGAGCCAAGCCAGUAAAAUCAAGGUGAGAAGAUGGCUGUAUUAUAGGAUAACCCAUCUCAGCCCCCAUAAAGGGACCUGCUCAUCGUAUAAAGAGGUAGCUGUAA